CUUGGGCGCCUGCGCCUAUUGGCUACGGAUGGAGCUCACGGACCGUACGUACCACGCGAACGCGUACUACUGCAUGCAUGCACUGUGUGUGUGGCAACUAUAGCAUUAUCAUUACGUACGUGAUCGCGUUGUGGCAUGCAGAAAGCCGAUUCCAGAAAUAACUUCGCAGCUACAAAGUUUUGACUGAAAAAAAACUUGCUGCAGCCAAAAAUGUCCGUUGUGGUGCCGAACGACAGGGGCGACGGUUUGUCAGUUGUGCCUCCAGGAACGAACAGUAUGUCACUGCCAGUGCCCAUAUCCAUACCACCGCCGAACUCUCUAGUCAACUCGGUGGUACCGAGCAACGCGGCGUUGACCGGUGGUGUGUUUCUCCCGGGCCCGAUGCCAGUACCACUCCCCGUACACACACCGCCGAUGAAAAUCAUGGCGGACCACCACACCACAGAGAAACAACACCCACCGAUCCCCAACAACACAGACUACCUAGCACAGCUUUUAAACGACAAGAAAUCCCUGGUUUUGGUACCUAACAUGUUUAUCCACGUGGAAAGAAUUAUCGAUGAAGAAAUCAGCAAAGUGCGCAAGAACAUGUACAACAUCAACAACGACAACACGCCUCUCGUACUUCCAGAACCUCAAGGCCCAACAAUCACACUCUCAGAGAAACUUUUUGUACCGGUCAAAACAUACCCAGAUUUCAACUUUGUAGGCAGAAUACUUGGGCCUCGUGGUAUGUAUGCCAAACAGCUUGAGAAGGAGACAGGGUGCAAGAUCAUGAUCCGAGGAAAAGGUUCCAUGAGAGACAAAAAGAAGGUCUGGAAGGAGGAAAUGAACAAAGACAAGCACAACUGGGAGCAUCUGGCGGAGGAGCUGCACGUGCUGGUCACCGUGGAGGACACCGCCAACAGAGCCGGCCUCAAGAUGGAGCGCGCCGUCUCACAGAUCAAGAAGCUACUAGUGCCCACGGCGGACGGGGAAGAUGAGUUGAAGAAGAGACAGCUGAUGGAGUUGGCGAUCAUCAACGGAACGUUCAGGGACACCACCAGCAAAGCGCACCAAAGCAGCAAUCCGAACACACCCCUCAGUAAGUGUGCUGAAUCCGACAAUACCCAACAGUACCUUAAGUAUGAACCCUACGGAAUGCGUCAUCUAACAACAGUUGAAUUACCGCCUGGUGGCUGCACAUUCAUACCAGCCUCGCCGAGACAAAUGAUCCCGCCGGGUACCGCUCUCAUCCCGCAACCUCUGAGGUCACCGACACCAGCCGCCAACCCCCAGCUCAUCGCGCACCCCUCGGCCGCGCUCUUCCCACGGAUGGCGAGCGGCCAGACCAUCCUUGCCAACGGCAUGGCCCCGCCCAUGGUGUCUACAGCAGAUGGGACCAGUAUUAUGUUCUCUCCUUACGAGCACUACCCCUACGCCAUGACGCCCACCAUGCUUGACUACCCUCCUACGCCUUCCGAGGGUACCAUUGGUGCUGUACCCAAAUUACGGAGAGCAAUCAGGGAACACCCUUACCAGAGGGUCCUUGAUUCACGAGACCUUUCCAGCAUGGUUAUGGGAGCGACUCUGCCCCUCCCCAACCCCCUGAUGUCAUGAAUCUCAUGAUAGACCAUGGUACAGUACUGCCUUAAUAUUUGAUCAUUUUUUUGUUGUUGUUGUAUACACAAUAUAUCUAACUGUUAAAAUUAUAAUCAUCCAUUGACCAAUCGCAGGUGCCUUCAAAAGAUUGAUUUUGCUCAAUAUCUUGAAUGCUUUUGUUUACAAUCAAGGCUGGUUCAUAUUCGGAGCGGAAGCGAAUGCGAACACAUUUCAACUCUGGUGAAUUUCGCAGCGAAUGCUUUGCGACGUCAAAUUUGCAUCGCAUUGGCAUGAAGUAUGAGCCGGCCUUAAGGCUCCUUUAAAUUUGCUUAGCCGAGCACAAUUUGGAACUCUGCCGAAAAAAUGGAUAUUUCAUUUGGAAGUUCCUGUUGCCUAGAUCUGGAUUCACAGAUACUGAUGUAUUCGUUGUCACUAUCCGAGACGAUUAUGUGCCAGACGUGUUUCCUCAACAAAUAUGGGAAAAUUACAUUCACUCAUAACGCAUGUAGAUUAUACAGUGGCUAGUCUGUAUGCUUUGAGCAAUUCAGAGAGAUACGUUGUCAAAUACCUGUCAUGCUUUUCUCACUCAUAUGAGUGACAACCUUGACAGAUGCAUUUGCACUUUCAUUAGAGAAUUGUAGAAAUCGAAACGACUCCUCUUCACAUCAAAGCCAUCUCAGUAAAACAGUUGUCACGCUUGGCCAAAAAAAGCUUAAAUGUCCAUGCAUACUUUAUGAGGUUACAGAGGACGUCAGAUGAAAGUUUUCCCUGUCGAGUACGUCCUUGCGCUUAGGGGCCUAUAGGCAGAAACAUAGCCCGCAAUAAAAUAUUCAACAAAUGCAGCGAGUCUGCUAAUGGAGUAAUUUGGGAAAUUUGAGCAAACGAAAAACAGAAAUUGGCAUGUAUGAUUAAUCAUUUGAUCCAUCUAUAAAAAAAACCAGAAGCUCUCCGAACUGAAUUUCUUCAGAUAUUUUGUUACACCUUGCACCUUUGAACAAAUAAGUGCCUGCGGACAGUUGGCCUAAAAACGGGUCAUACUUGAAGUAAUAUCCGUGCAUGCUUAAGUUCAUUUCAAAUUUGAAUGAAGCAAAAAUGUGUACUUGGUCAAUGGAUGCUUAUUACACCCAAAACAAUGACGCGGUCAGUACUGUGUUGUAAAUACAUUUUUUUUUAUAUAACCAUCAAUAUGUACUUAUUAAAAAGAUGACCCAUGUACAAAAUUACCUGUAUAUGCAACUUUUUAAAACCCUGUGGUGCCUUUUUUCACGCAACAGUUUGUACUUUUUGCUGUUGAAUUUUUAAUAGAGAAGAUGUUUUUGUAAAGUCUACCUUUUGUACUCACUCACGUCAGGGCAUUAAUUUGACUGGUAUUAUUUUCGUUGAUUUUGACCUGUUACUUUCUUGUUAAGUUGAAAGUUGUUGAAGUGGUGCUCUCAAAAGCUAUAGACCGUGGUUAUCGACAUGAAUUUGACAAAGCCAAUUAUUGGACAACCACUUUUAGUAGCCACUUUUUUUACGCUCUGAUUUUCCCCCCAUUGUUCCAUACGUGUACUUCCACUGCCUCGAGUCAAGGGAAAAUAGUUUUGUUCCAGGCAAGUUUUCAAACACAAACAAACAUUUGUUCAGCCCCCCAAAAUGAGGGCUGCAAUUGUAAAUCUAGGCAACUCAACGCACAACUCUAGUUCCUGUUGUCAAGACAGAAAAUGUGAACCCAGAAAGUUCGAAUGUCUGGAUUUUCAUCUUUGAGUAACCUUCAUGAAACUUGAUCAAAAUAAAGCACAACAAAUUGCACAAAAUUAUUGCGAAUAGAAAAAUCAUGCAUUGAGCUUUGGACGAAAAACUGAUGCAAUGGCAGUACUUAAAAAAAAACAGGGCGGGAUGAAAAUCCUCCUACUUUUGUUCUGUUGCUUUCUACCGAAAAAGUAUUAUAUUUUUUGUAUUUGUAUAUUUAUGAUAUUGUAUGGGGCUUGCAAUGGGACAAUUAUAUAUCGAGAGCUCAACCUUAUUCAGUAAAGAUUAUAUAUAUUUUCAUUACCAAAAAAAAAAAGGAAAGAAGUACUGAAUUGGGUAGUCGAGCUAAAUGUUUAUAUAUUUUUGUGAUGUUCGCCUUAAUUUGUUAUCCAUUUUUUUUGGUGUUUUUUUUACAAUUUAUACAUUACGUACAUUUGGGAAUUGUGUAUCCAAUUUUUUGUCUUCCAUAUUUAGACUAUGUUAUAUCUUGUAAGGGUUUCAUAUAUGGUGGAUUAUUAUUUUAGCGUUAUUUGAAGAGGUAGUAGAUGUUGUAGGAAGAAUAAAUAUUGUUGAAUUGUUCAAGUGUAACAAAGUACCGGUGUAACCACCAUUUGAAGUGGAAGGCCUGUUUACAUUUGGCUGGCCGGGUACCAGCACUUCUAUAUUCUUAGUGGAAUAUCAGUGGCAGGGACCGGCUUUACGUUUGGACAAUUCACUUAUGAACGUUCUUUGUUUUUUAAGUAGGAGGAACUGUUAUAAGUGAGGGUUAUUUUUUUUAUCAAUAUGCGUCCGUGUGUAAAAUGAGAAAAGUGUUCAAUAAAAAAAAAAAAGACAGAAAAAAAGGAAAACAGUCUUACAGUUUAUUCAUCAAGUUCAGUGAUCAGUGUAAAUAUGAAGAGAUGUUCACCCCCUUCUGCCAACAAAUGGAAUAUUCCUCACUGUGCCUUAGUGGAUGAUUCCAUUUAAAAACGGGGGUGACAUAAUAGUUUCCUGUGCAACUUUCCUUCUUGGACUGAUGCUGAAAUCUAAGACUGCUGUUGAGUUUUGAAGAAGUGUGCUAAUUAACUUAAUUCUAAUGUCACUACUGUACCCUCACUUUAACACAAAUGCUGUAAUUAAAGUUUUGCUAGUGUAGAAUGUUAAACAGGGAUUUUUAAAAUGUAACAAAUGGUUUAUUACAUGGUUAUUAAUAUUAAUGUUAACAAAUUGCGAUGCUUUGCAAAUGGAAUGGUCUCAGUACCAGCAACAGUAUAAUGCAUUAAUCUUUAUGCAUUUGGCUGUACUCAAGGACUAAUUUAGCAUAGGAAAUUCACUCUUAUCAAGUUUUUUUUAGGGUUUCAUUACAGAAUAGAACGUGAGAAAAUGAACAAAAAGCGUUACAUCAAAAUUACUUGUUCUUUGAGACAUGUUUAUUCGUAAAGCAUCGCAGAGUGUACUUUUCUAACAACAUUCAUUACUUUUGCCAAAAAAUCAAACAAACGCCAACCCUAUGGAACCUGCCACGUGAGCGCUAAACGACCCGCCAGAGCCCCUAGCCAAUGAAAACGCAGCGUGGAAUGACGCUGUCAUUGAAUAAGCCAGCAACUAACCCCCCAAGCAACAACUGCACAGGGUCACAAGCAUUUGCCUCCCACUCCUACCUGCAACCACAGCGACUGCUGGUUGGGUUACCAAUGAUUGCAUCCCUGGUACCCCUGCGGCCGACAUCAUCUACUUGAGGAGUUCAUCUUUUGCCUGUACUUACAGCAAGCACCGCUUAAUUUGUCUCUGAAUAACCAAAAUCCAGUUUUAAAUACGCCUGUCAUUAAUAUGAGAUUCACAGAAAACUUAAGAAAAAACAAAACAAAAAAUGCCCCAUUAAUACUAAUAUAUUGACCGGUGUGUGUUUUGUAACUGCCUAUGUCAAAGUAGGUUUAUAGAAAUUGGUGCCAAGUUUAUGUGUUGGGAGGAAAGAUGUUGCCCGGCAUGACGAUUUUGUUGCGAACUAUCUGAAAUAAUCUCAUCAGAACCCAUUCUUUGAAAAAAAUGUUGCGAGGACCAGUUGUUUUUCUGUGCAUGAAAAUUGAGACUCUGCAACAUCUUUCUCCCCAUCUGCUGACUAAAGUACGGACACAGCGGAAGACUAUGGGAAUGCUUCGUGGCACCAGACACACUUGUUCUUUACUAUUCUAUUGCUGGGUGUCUGCACAUCUUCUUAAGAACACCCAGAAAUAGAUGGAUUAAUUUGCUGCCACCAACAUUUUCAGAAGUCUCUCCAUAAUUGCACUCUAAGGCCAAUGCAUAACCCUAACUCCAAAAAGUCCCUAAAAGUUGUUAAAAUAACUUGUCAAAUUGCUGUUUGGUUGCAAUUUUUAACAAAGCACUUUUCUCUAAAUUUAUAAAUCUGUUAUUGAGAUACAUAUAUGUUCCUAAAAUUAAUAACAAUAAUGAUUUUGACAUCACACUCAUUUUCUCUACAAAUUAAUUUUGUUGAGUAAUUCCCCCUACUGGGCCAGUGGAAUGCUCUUCUGAUAUCACUGGCAAUGAAUAUUCAUGUUCACCCAUAUCGUUCAUUGGAUUUAAUCUGAGCUUUGUGAUUGGUUGAAAUCUUUUGCCUUGCAUAACAACUCGAGGUACCUGACUGUCAGGUGACAUUAGGUGACCAUUCCAUUGUGUUAGUAGGGUGGUUUGUAAGCAUUCAAGAUUCAUUGUGUGUAGUUCUGUAAUAUUAAUGAAAAAAUCUUAUGCUGUGUUCCAGUUGCAUCAUUUUUUGGAUUGUUGAUUUUGUAAUCAGGCUUCGAAUGCACUAUAAACCAACGCUGCUAUAUUUGAAGUCAAGAGAAAUUUUGUUUCACAUUCUGCACCGAUGCACAUGGUAUUCGGUGCAUUAACUUAAAGUGCUGCAAUCUCUAUUUUCAAAUUUAGUAAAGAUCAACACCUGAAACGUAAUGCAACCAGAACACAGCAUAUUUCAACUUUUGUGGAUGUUUCAUGCUCAUUCCCACUAAGUUUUACAUAACAGGUUUUCUACAGAAAUAAUAAUAGGAAACAGCUUUAAUAUUGUUACUUUAACUUACUCAGCAUGCUUAACUAAGUGCCAUUUAAAACACAGGCAUAAAAGGGCUUAUAAGCUUACAAAAUUGCUUAGCACAAAGAAUUUGUGCGUACAGGGAAGAGAGAAGCAGAUGUUCCAGCCAAAAAUUUCAACGAAUGGAAUAUUGAGACUGAUUGUCAAACUAAUAUUGCUCUUUUGCUUAACACAAAAAGACCCGACCAAAAAAAAAUCUGUUUGAAAUAUUUGAGUGCCUCUUGUACAAGCAAUAACCCCAGAAAGUGCUGAAUACAUUGCAGCUUGGCACAGGGCCAAGAUACUGGCGAAUAGUCUGGCAUUAGUAACAACACACAAGUUAAAUUACAGGGUAGAGCAACCAAGCUUUUUAGAUAUUAUACAGUUUCUUGAGUGCCUAAACUUUGAAUUGAGUACACAAAUGUGUACUCAAUUUUCACAAAAUUUACAAUUUAAGUCAAAGAUUUUGAUGAUGUGAUUCUUAGUUCGGGAUUUUGGCAAAUUCCUGCCCGUUCCCAUUGGUUGAAACAUUGGAGAUCAUUUGAAUGACAAUAGUCCAACCAGCGCACACACUCUCAAAGCAACCAAUGAGAAGCAGUGCUUAGUUCUAUUUGCAUUUUACUGGUCGUUAAUGAGCCAAUGGCAUAGCUGCAGAAUUUUGUUUGUCAGGGAUGAUCUUAUCUAUAAGCCUGAAGCUCUUGACCAUCUGUUUGAAACCUGGUAUUUUCAUCUGAGGUGAGUACAUUUGUCAGUGAAGAAGAACAUUCGAAGCAUCAAAUUAAAAGGAUCCCUUUAGUGGAUGAGGGCAUGUUUUAAUAAUUUCUUAACGACAGUUGGAACUGAAAUUUGCAUUGCUGUUGGGGGGGGGGAUAAAUUAAAACCCAACAGAUAUCAGAAAGCAUAACCGUUGUUGUGAGCAGGCACAAAUGUAGUCGUCAAAACCAUUUCAAAAAAACAAAAAAAAAAUCAGAAAAAAAUAUUAAAAUAAUAAAAAGUACCAAAAAAAUAAUAUACAAAAACAAUGUAAGAUAUGUAGGAGCCAUUUGGUGACAUGACACAUAGGUCAGUGAUGACAUCAUCAAAUUUGCAUAUUUAGAGGUCACAUGACAAUGCCACAGCUGCCUCAAAGCUUCUCAGGGAAUGAAUUGGAAGGUUUUACAAACUUAGGUGGCUGUAAGGUUAUGCAGGUGGCAGCUGUACAUCAAACACACCCGCAACGAAAGUAGGAGAAAAAUUGUUUUCCAUGAGAAUUCUCUGACUUGGUGAAUUCCCUGAAAUAAAAAUCCAUAUACUUCAAAAGUGUGACUUCAAUUUGGAGAAACAUAUACAUCACAACAAAAUGUAUAAAGUUAAAUGUAUCCACUGUUGAUUGGUGAAGAAAAAAAAACAAGUUCUUCAGAUUUUGGAUUUGACGUUGAAUUCCUGUAAGUGUAUGAAACUGUAAACAUUAGAUACACAGAUUUUGUGGAACUUUUUGUUGUGAUUAGACCCAGAACGUAGUACAAGUUAAAUAUAUGUACAGCCAAGUAUUACCAAGCAAAGUCGAAGUGCUUCCAUAUUACUGCACUGUAUAAGGGGUCUAUUUUCCCCACAAAAAGCAAGCAUUUGUACUUAAAGAAUUCUUGUUUAAUAUAAAAAAAA